GACGAACGCUGGCGGCGUGCUUAACACAUGCAAGUCGAACGGAAAGGCCCUGCUUGCAGGGUACUCGAGUGGCGAACGGGUGAGUAACACGUGGGUGAUCUGCCCUGCACUUCGGGAUAAGCUUGGGAAACUGGGUCUAAUACCGGAUAGGAGCCAUCUUUAGUGUGGUGGUUGGAAAGUUUUUUCGGUGUAGGAUGAGCUCGCGGCCUAUCAGCUUGUUGGUGGGGUAAUGGCCUACCAAGGCGGCGACGGGUAGCCGGCCUGAGAGGGUGUACGGCCACAUUGGGACUGAGAUACGGCCCAGACUCCUACGGGAGGCAGCAGUGGGGAAUAUUGCACAAUGGGCGGAAGCCUGAUGCAGCGACGCCGCGUGGGGGAUGAAGGCCUUCGGGUUGUAAACUCCUUUCGCUAGGGACGAAGCUUUUUGUGACGGUACCUAGAUAAGAAGCACCGGCUAACUACGUG
rnacentral:rRNA from 1 species